UGGUGCCAGCAGCCGCGGUAAUUCCAGCUCCAAUAGCGUAUAUUAAAGUUGUUGUGGUUAAAAAGCUCGUAGUUGAACCUUGGGCCUGGCUGGCCGGUCCGCCUCACCGCGUGUACUGGUCCGGCCGGGCCUUUCCCUCUGUGGAACCCCAUGCCCUUCACUGGGUGUGGCGGGGAAACAGGACUUUUACUUUGAAAAAAUUAGAGUGCUCCAGGCAGGCCUAUGCUCGAAUACAUUAGCAUGGAAUAAUAGAAUAGGACGUGUGGUUCUAUUUUGUUGGUUUCUAGGACCGCCGUAAUGAUUAAUAGGGACAGUCGGGGGCAUCAGUAUUCAAUUGUCAGAGGUGGAAUUCUUGGAUUUAUUGAAGACUAACUACUGCGAAAGCAUUUGCCAAGGAUGUUUUCAUUAAUCAGGAACGAAAGUUAGGGGAUCGAAGACGAUCAGAUACCGUCGUAGUCUUAACCAUAAACUAUGCCGACUAGGGA
rnacentral:rRNA from 1 species